rnacentral:rRNA from 1 species
CAGCAGCAGCCGCGGUAAUACGUAGGGUGCGAGCGUUAAUCGGAAUUACUGGGCGUAAAGCGUGCGCAGGCGGUUGUGUAAGACAGGUGUGAAAUCCCCGGGCUUAACCUGGGAACUGCGCUUGUGACUGCACAGCUAGAGUAUGGCAGAGGGGGGUGGAAUUCCACGUGUAGCAGUGAAAUGCGUAGAGAUGUGGAGGAACACCGAUGGCGAAGGCAGCCCCCUGGGCCAAUACUGACGCUCAUGCACGAAAGCGUGGGGAGCAAACAGGAUUAGAGACCCGUGUAGUCCCUGUCUCUUAUAC